UGAAGGAAUAAUGAAGUAUUUUCCUUUUAUUCUUAAUGACUUCAUAAAGCCACUAUUUCACUAUAAGCCUGUAUUUCCUUAUCACUUUCCCAGUGCAAUUGUGGAUACAGCUCCAUCAUGACAAAGAACUCUGCAGUGCAUCUGGAAAUGGGACCCCUUGCAAGGGAACAUAUGGGCCCUUCAGAGCAGCACGGUCAUCAAGGAGAGUGAUGCGGUUCCUUUAAGUGCCAGAAAUUUCAUGUAUCUUAUCAGGUGCAUUGGCCAUAUGGAUGUAUGAAAACUGAAAGCACUAUGGACUUUGGUGCUCACAGGGAGAAGGUGCCUGCCCAGCAGCCUCUUCAUGGAUUUAGCUGUAUGGAUCAGAUAAAUUGCUGUUUCGCCUACUUUCAUCCUUUGAAGUUUAGUGGCUUCUACAUCCCUCUGUUGCCCUCCUCCUCAGCCCACGAGAGGGAACAAAACCCAAGUACUGAAGCUGAAGGCUUUUUAGUCUGAUGCUCUCUUACGCUCUCAAGUCUACCAGAAUAAAAUUAGUGACUAAUUUAAGUGUGAGCAGAGUAUGGACCAUUCUCUCUGCCAUUUCUGCCCAAACACAGUAGAGAAGGCCAGAGGCAGAAGCACAGCCAACAGAAUGAGUGAAGCAACCACUCCUACUCAAUAGCCCGCAUCCAAAAUACUGUGUCCAGUUUUGGAUACUCCAGUAAAAUAAAGAGAUUAGUAACCUGAAGAAAUUUCAGUGGAAGGUCAUGACCAGAGCUGAAAUACUUGCCUUAUGAAGUUGAGGGGCUUUCUGCAGAACAGUUUUGGGGAGAAAGAAGAUGGAGCCAGGUGCAUGAUGGGAGAAUGAGAAACAUCAGGCAUAAGUUGAAAUAAAAGUGAUUCAGGUUGGAUUUAAGGAGAAGCCUUUUCACCCUUCAGGGAGUCAGGCAGGAAAAGAAGUUUCCCAGAGAGGCUGUGCAGUUUCUGUCCUUGGGAUUUUUCAAGAAGUGACUGGGCAGCCUGCUCUGACCUCAACACUACUCCUGCCUUGAGCACACGGCUGGGUUAGAGACCUCCCGGAGUUACGCCAGUCAGAAUUUCCCUGUGAUCCCAUGACAAGGGAAGCCUGGUAUUUCAAGUAAUUCCCCAAGGAGACCUGACCUCUGAACCUUCUGUGGGCUGCUUAUUGCCCAUUAUUUCCGAAGAAGGAAGAGAACAUAUUUCAUCAUUCUGUCAAUGGACUGACUGAUAUGUCUGUCUGUCAGCCUGUCUAUUGCUAAGACUUGGAGACAGUUGGAGAAGCCCUUCUCUUCAUGUCUAUGCAAUGCUUGUACAUUAAAGCAAUAUCUAUUUCAGUUUAUACAAGAUGACCUUCUCUGUUGGUUGCAUAGAGAUAUUUCCAGGAUCCUCGAAUUUAUGAAACACAAAGCUUGGACAUUCUUGCACAAAAAUGUUAUCUGAUAACACUGCCAAAGCUGUCAGGCAACAGAGAGAACUAGUUAAAUAAAUAUGAUCAUAUUUGUACUAACAAGUCAACAGAAGGGCUGAAAUGUGCCCACCACUAGUUUUUUUUUGUUUGUUUGUUUCUGUCUUCUGCAGUCUUAUAGAUAUCCUAGGUACGAAGCAAGUUGUCUUCUAUUCUGAACCUCUAGAAGCAUCAGGAACAGCUUUGAGGUGAUUUACAUGGGUUUUGACAAACUAUUUUGAUGCAGUCAACCCUGUAUUAAUUCACCCUUAGAGAAUGAACUUGGCUCUGCAGCUGGUAACUUGCUCUAUCACCCAGAUGAAAUGACAUCUUGGUCUGCAGAGUACUUUUCAUGGGCUUAGUCAAAACUGGUGGUUGGUGCACUACUGACAGCUUGACAGUAUUGUAAACAGAAGG